GGUCACUCGUGGUCACUGUUGGUCACUCGUGGUCACUGUUGGUCACUGUUGGUCACUCGUGGUCACUGUUGGUCACUGUUGGUCACUCCUGGUCGCUCGUGGUCACUGUGGGUCACUGGUGGUCCCUCCCGGUCACUUGUGGUCCCCCCCGGUCGCUCGUGGUCACUGUUGGUCACUCGUGGUCACUCCUGGUCACUCGUGGUCACUCCCGGUCCCUCCUGGUCACUCGUGGUCACUGUUGGUCACUCGUGGUCACUCCUGGUCACUCGUGGUCACUCCUGGUCGCUCGUGGUCACUGUUGGUCACUCCUGGUCCCCCCCGGUCGCUCGUGGUCACCGCGGCGCUCAGUGCCCGAUGACGCGGCGGAUCCAGGCGCUGGCCCGGCAGACGUUGCUGUAGACGCCCGGCUGGCCUCGCUGACCACAGACGGCCAAACCCCAGGAGACCACGCCCUGCAGGUACCCCCCGCAGACCAGCGGGCCCCCGGAGUCACCCUGCACAGGUGAGACACACCUGGGUUACACCUGGGUUACACCUGGGUUACAC
rnacentral:lncRNA from 1 species